UGGGGAAUAUUGGACAAUGGGCGAAAGCCUGAUCCAGCCAUGCCGCGUGUGUGAAGAAGGUCUUCGGAUUGUAAAGCACUUUAAGUUGGGAGGAAGGGCAGUUACCUAAUACGUAUCUGUUUUGACGUUACCGACAGAAUAAGCACCGGCUAACUCUGUGCCAGCAGCCGCGGUAAUACAGAGGGUGCAAGCGUUAAUCGGAAUUACUGGGCGUAAAGCGCGCGUAGGUGGUUUGUUAAGUUGGAUGUGAAAUCCCCGGGCUCAACCUGGGAACUGCAUUCAAAACUGACAAGCUAGAGUAUGGUAGAGGGUGGUGGAAUUUCCUGUGUAGCGGUGAAAUGCGUAGAUAUAGGAAGGAACACCAGUGGCGAAGGCGACCACCUGGACUGAUACUGACACUGAGGUGCGAAAGCGUGGGGAGCAAACAGGAUUAGAUACCCCUGUAGUCCCUGAGCGGGCUGGCAAGGCGCAU
rnacentral:rRNA from 1 species